UACCCGCAGCACGAGUGGUGGUCAUUAUUAUUGGGCCUAAAGCGUCCGUAGCCGGUCCUGUAAAUGCCUGGGUAAAUCGAUGCGCUCAACGUAUCGAAUUCCGGGUAGACUGCAGGACUUGAGACCGGGAGAGGCACGGGGUACUCCAGGGGUAGGGGUAAAAUCCUGUAAUCCUUGGGGGACCACCAGUGGCGAAGGCGCCGUGCUGGAACGGCUCUGACGGUGAGGGACGAAGCCCUGGGGCGCAAACCGG
rnacentral:rRNA from 1 species